rnacentral:rRNA from 1 species
ACCCGGUGAUCUAGCCAUGGGCAGGUUGAAGGUUGGGUAACACUAACUGGAGGACCGAACCGACUAAUGUUGAAAAAUUAGCGGAUGACCUGUGGCUGGGGGUGAAAGGCCAAUCAAACCGGGAGAUAGCUGGUUCUCCCCGAAAGCUAUUUAGGUAGCGCCUCGUGAAUUCAUCUCCGGGGGUAGAGCACUGUUUCGGCUAGGGGGCCAUCCCGGCUUACCAACCCGAUGCAAACUGCGAAUACCGGAGAAUGUUAUCACGGGAGACACACGGCGGGUGCUAACGUCCGUCGUGAAGAGGGAAACAACCCAGACCGCCAGCUAAGGUCCCAAAGUCAUGGUUAAGUGGGAAACGAUGUGGGAAGGCCCAGACAGCCAGGAUGUUGGCUUAGAAGCAGCCAUCAUUUAAAGAAAGCGUAAUAGCUCACUGGUCGAGUCGGCCUGCGCGGAAGAUGUAACGGGGCUAAACCAUGCACCGAAGCUGCGGCAGCGAACGUAUCACCCAAGACAACUUUACGGAGUUGACGAUUGACGGAGCGAAGCGACGUCAAAGCGUUCAUUAAAGUCGAGUUGGCUUAGGGAUACGUUCGUUGGGUAGGGGAGCGUUCUGUAAGCCUGUGAAGGUGUGUCGUGAGGCAUGCUGGAGGUAUCAGAAGUGCGAAUGCUGACAUAAGUAACGAUAAAGCGGGUGAAAAGCCCGCUCGCCGGAAGACCAAGGGUUCCUGUCCAACGUUAAUCGGGGCAGGGUGAGUCGACCCCUAAGGCGAGGCCGAAAGGCGUAGUCGAUGGGAAACGGGUUAAUAUUCCCGUACUUGGUGUUACUGCGAAGGGGGGACGGAGAAGGCUAUGUUGGCCGGGCGACGGUUGUCCCGGUUUAAGCGUGUAGGUGUGUGUUCCAGGUAAAUCCGGUUCACUUUAACACUGAGGCGUGACGACGAGGCACUACGGUGCUGAAGCAACAAAUGCCCUGCUUCCAGGAAAA